UGGGCUAGAGAGUGCUGAUCUAGGAUGUGAGGGAUUUCCCUGGGCACCCCCCAAAGGAAGGCCCAAAGCACCCUGUUCCCGGGCAGGAAGAAGGGGAGCUCCCAGCAUCACAGGUCUGUACUCCACCCUGACAGGAGCUAUUGGUUUUGGAGGCACGAACAUCCUUACCAAGCUGUGUCCAGGCUGUGAUGCUAACAUUAGACAACAGAGAAGUGACUCAGCCCUUUCAGUAUAUGUUUCCAUGUUCCCAGCUGCUGUAGGAAAUAAACAAAGUCUUACCACCCAGGCUCUGCAAGAACCAAGAUAACAGCAAAAAUGAGGCCAGCAGAGAUGACCAUCUUUACAGACUCCCACGGCACCCAGCACGACCCAUUAAAAAUCAGCUCCAGACCAGGCGGAAAAAAACCUACUGCCAAAAAGGGAAUAAAACUCUUCCCCACCCCCUGCUUGGCCGUGAAGUAUUUCCGAAGAAGAAGCAAGAGAGAAGUACUGAGGAACCUCUCUGUGAAGGACUUUGAUGCCCACGUGCGAAUGUCCCAGCGUGGAUAAAGUGCUGGUGCCAGCUACAGACUGACAAACCUGGAGGCUCUCUUACCUGUAUGUAACCGUGUCCAGUACGCUGUUUGACCCAAUGUCAUGUGCUAGAUGUGAAACACUGUAUUCUGUUGUAUGGAUAUAUUUGAGAUGCAUAUUGGGAUAUUGAUAUAUUGGGAGAUACAUAUUACCUUAUAUUUGCUUAUAUAUUUUGUUGCAUAUAUGCGCUGAGGUCUGUAACCACUCCUGGAGGACCAGUUAUAAGUGGUGCAAAUGUAUGGUCACUGUCCUUGUCAAGAAUUGGAUCAGCCUCCUGGAGAAGAGAUGGACAUACCCACAAGCUCAGCAGUCCAGCCUGCUCUGAGAGUUGCUGGUCAGUGAAAUCACUGAUUUGCUGAGCAUCUGCUUCAAAUUCAAGAGUCACGAACUUACAUGAGGGCUGGUUUCAGGCUGGCACUGGCCACAUCUUAAGCUGCAGAGGGAGGUGAAGGUUGGACUUAGCUUAACUCCAGGAGCUAUGAGAUGACUCUGUGUGCUGGGGUGGUCUCUGGAGGCAGCUCGUUCAACAGGCAGUGCUGCACACUCUAUAUGCACAGUUGGCUCAGGUUUGUAGCUAAAUUAGUCUAUUUGUACUGGCAUGGGUUGACAGGCCUCCUAAAUGCCUCGUAGAUAGAAAAAUUACCCCCUUGCACAUCUACAGCCCAGACUUCCCUGUGAAAUCCAGCUGACUGCAGUUCCCCAGCCUGCAGCAGCUAUAACAUAUCCUGUAAGUGAACUGAUCAGCUGGAGAGGAGCUGGCGGGGAGGCAGGAAAAGGCACUUACAGAGUCAUUCAGGCCAUGCUCAUGACUGGACAAGCAGGAUCUUUACUGCAAAUCAGAGUGAAAGAGUAGAGAGCUCUCCCCAGCUGGUGCAGAGAAAUGAAAUGUAGACACCCAGCAGAUUUCCGCUUUCAGCUUAGUGGGUGUAUUUUCCUGAUUUCUGAUGCUUGGGCUGGUAUAAAUGAGACAGCCUUCAGUUAAAGCUAUGUACGAUAGAGGCAGGUUGCUGCUGUCCUCAGCAGCUGAACCCUGGCCUUUAAGUCAUGUACUUCAGUGUUCUCUAGGAUGCCCAGCAUCCCAGUUAUUUCCCCGUGUAGAUCAACAAUUUCCAAAUGUUUUAUCCUCAGCUUCUCAGCAUCUCCCCUUCACUUUUCAUUGUCCCAGUAUUUAGAGAAAAUUUUGCUAUGAUGACAGAUGGCACCUUAGGUGGCUCUAUGGACCACUGAUUGCUGUCCCAGCACCAAACUGCAGAGCUGUGGCCUUGAAGAGUCCUUUCCCUCUGCCAGGAGAUAGGCUGUGAAUGUGUGUGUGUCUAUGAGUGACUGAGCAAGGGCUGUCAGAUGGGGGAACUGCACCUCCUGAACAAAUAGACACCGUGUAUGCGUCUGGUCUAUGUGUUACACAGCCCUAUUUGCUCAUAUGAGAAACUGAUGAAAAGCUGCAGCCAUCAGAGGAGCUUUCUCCACGCACAUCAGAGUGGCAAGGCGAAUUCGAUCAGUGAGAUGACAACAAACCUGCUAAAAGAAAUAAAGAAUGGAUUUCCUGCCUUGCAGACACUAAAACCCCAUUUUGGGAAGCGAGUGGCUGCAAAAGGCAUGAGGCGGUUCAAAGAAUUGGGGCUGUGUGCUACCGGGCCCUCCAAGGGUUUGUCUGGAGGAGAAGAAACAAGUCUUGCUUGCUUUAGCCUGCUCCCCAAAGGUCUAUUUCUUCCAGCCCUCUGAAAUGGAGAGCGGGCGAGAGAUGAAUAUGAGUUUUCUCUGCCAAUAAUUUCCAGCACAGACUGCACGCAAAAUCUUCAUUUAAAACGUGUAAAUGACAGCGUAGGAGCCACAAGGGAGCCAGAUUUUAAGAGACCAAUUUGCUGCCCGGCUUUUAACGAGUGCUUGCAGCAAUGGGCCCUGUGCUGCUUUGCUGCUGCGUGUGCACAAGAUGUAGAUCAAAGGAUGGACAGACAGGCAGGGGCUCAGCAGAGCCUGUGUGUCACUCUGGAGGGUAAAAUAUUGUAUGUCAUGCUUGGAAAAUCUGGGGGAGGUGGGCCUCU